rnacentral:rRNA from 1 species
GACGAACGCUGGCGGCGUGCUUAACACAUGCAAGUCGAACGGAAAGGCCCUGCUUUUGUGGGGUGCCCGAGUGGCGAACGGGUGAGUAACACGUGAGUAACCUGCCCUUGACUUUGGGAUAACUUCAGGAAACUGGGGCUAAUACCGGAUCGGAGCUCCUGCUGCAUGGUGGGGGUUGGAAAGUUUCGGCGGUUGGGGAUGGACUCGCGGCUUAUCAGCUUGUUGGUGGGGUAGUGGCUUACCAAGGCUUUGACGGGUAGCCGGCCUGAGAGGGUGACCGGCCACAUUGGGACUGAGAUACGGCCCAGACUCCUACGGGAGGCAGCAGGGGGGAAUAUUGCACAAUGGGCGGAAGCCUGAGGCAGCAACGCCGCGUGCGGGAUGACGGCCUUCGGGUUGUAAACCGCUUUCGCCUGUGACGAAGCGUGAGUGACGGUAAUGGGUAAAGAAGCACCGGCUAACUACGUG